CAGCAGUAGCCACGGGAAUACAGAGGGUGCGAGCGUUAAUCGGAUUUACUGGGCGUAAAGCGUGCGUAGGCGGCUUCUUAAGUCGGAUGUGAAAUCCCUGAGCUUAACUUAGGAAUUGCAUUCGAUACUGGGAAGCUAGAGUAUGGGAGAGGAUGGUAGAAUUCCAGGUGUAGCGGUGAAAUGCGUAGAGAUCUGGAGGAAUACCGAUGGCGAAGGCAGCCAUCUGGCCUAAUACUGACGCUGAGGUACGAAAGCAUGGGGAGCAAACAGGAUUAGAUACCCGCGUAGUCCCUGUCUCUUAUAU
rnacentral:rRNA from 1 species